AAUCAUUUGUCUUUUAAAUGAAGACUUGUAUGAACGGCAAAACCUCCUCCAACUGUCUCCCCUCCCAUCCUUCCAAAUUUCCUCCUGCGUGAAGAAGCGCAGAUACACCAGAAAGACGAGAAGACCCUGUCGAGCUUUAACCACUAAGUGGGCCUUACCCUUUCAGGCACCACCCAAAGGUUUUGGUUGGGGCAACCACGGAGAAAAAACAUCCUCCAGAACGAAUAGAAGAAAGCUUUUCACUAUUAUUACGACUGAGAACCAGGAACUGGUAUUCGGAAAGAGUUACCGCAGGGAUAACAGCGUCAUCUCCUCUAAGAGUCCUUAUUGACGAGGAGGUUUGCGACCUCGAUGUUGGAUUGGGGCCCCCUUAGGGUGCAGAAGCUCUAAACGGUUAGACUGUUCGUCUAUUAAAGCCCUACAUGAUCUGAGUUCAAACCGGAG
rnacentral:rRNA from 1 species